GAAAAGAAACGGAUAUAAAGUUCGUUCAUUUCUGAAAGCACCCACUCUGUAGAAGAUGGAAUCACAAAUGCUGCCAAAUUCGAGCAGCUUCCUCAGGAUAGAAUGAAAGUGAAGAAGAGAGCUGGGAAUUUUAGUAGUGGAGCUGUGACUAUCAAAACGACCAAGAGCAAGAUCAGUGUAAUUUUUAAGGUGUCUUUUUCCAAACAGUAUGGAAAUAUACCUCCCCACAAACAGUAUCUGAAGACUAAGAUACAUGGUCAGUUAUGUGCAGUGGCUAAUAGCAAUGAGACUUCUGAACUACAUUAUUUUCACGUUCACAAGGAUGAUGAAGUGAAUUAAACUCAUG
rnacentral:lncRNA from 1 species